AACAUAAUUUAUUCUAUGUUACGGCCAUAGAGGCGGUAAUAAAAUUACCUUAUGUUU
rnacentral:tRNA from 1 species